UACGUAGGGGGCAAGCGUUGUCCGGAAUUAUUGGGCGUAAAGCGCACGUAGGCGGCUUAGCAAGUCGGAAGUGAGAUCCCUCGGCUCAACCAAGGAAGUGCUUUCGAAACUGCUGAGCUUGAGUACUUAAGAGGAUGCGGAAUUCCCGGUGUAGAGGUGAAAUUCGUAGAUAUCGGGAGGAACACCAGUGGCGAAGGCGGCGAUCUGAGA
rnacentral:rRNA from 1 species